rnacentral:lncRNA from 1 species
AUGGGAUGCGAGUUUGGGAACCUGGUACGGAUGCAGCCUGUUAUCUCCUACAGCUCCUUUGAGUAGCAUUCAGUACUACUUCAGCAAAGGCAUCCCCUAUGUACUGCACCACCCUCGAGUGAGCAUCCUGCACAUGGUACUGCCUUUAUAGUGUUCUAUCUGAUCUACACAUGAGGCAACCAGGAGUUUGAGUAAUCCAAAAGGAAGAAUCCAGUCAAGUAUGCAAAUGACAAG